UGCUUUGGACUGAGCACAUUUCUUUAUACACCCCUGGACAUUGUUAAAGGAAGGAAUGUGGGUUGUAUUUGUAUUUGUAAUCUGAGAAAUCACGGUGUUCUCAUUGGCCUCUCUGGGAAUUGUUCACCAAUGCUUUCUUUUCUCUGCCAAACUUAAACAUUUCUCCUGAGGAAACGUUCAGUUUCUAGAUCUGCAUAAUCCUGCCUUGAUAUUUUUAUUGUGAUGAGGAGAUAUGAUAAGAAAGAAAUCACAGCAGAGCUAAAAUCAAGAAGGAAAUUCUUCAAGGCAACAAAUGUGUUUAGAGAUCAUUAUCUGUCUAGUACUAUACAGCUUCCACUUCUGCUGAAGGAAAUGCAUCACAAAAACCCCCUCUUUAUUCCAGGUUUGCACAGGUUCAUUCCCACCCAAGUGCACCAUAUGCCAGCAGGCAGCCACACUCAGGCUGAUGAGAAGUGCUGGGAGACAACAACAGAACUGAGAGAUCUUCCUCACAGCCCAUCAUCAGACAGGAACAUGUCACUCCUGUUUACUCCUAGGCAGUGCUGGGAAAUGAAUAGCAUUAAACAUUCAGCAACAUUAUUCCUUUUCUAUGUCUGCAUAAAUUUUUAACUGUCAUGCUGUCCAAAAUAAUUUGUAUAAGUUUUAAAGUUGGGGAGUAUAUUUGAUCAUAUUAUGUCUUUGCUAGUCAGGCCAAUAAAUUUAAUUUCAGAGCACUGCUCUUAAAGUCUGAAUUGGACUAUUUUUGAAUCAAUUUGAAAUUAAAUUUUAAAUUGGUGCCAGCUUCCUUCACAUUGCAAGAGGCAAAGUUUCAGCAAAGAGGUACCCCAGAAAUUCAUUCCUGUUCUGUAAGAAGCAGCUUUGCCACCAUGGAAAUGCUCACAGGCAGGGGUGUCUGCUUCUCCUGUCACCACUGGGCAUGUGAGAUACAUCUGUGUAAUGCAUAUAUCUUUAAUAUAAAAUAUAGAUCUCAUUUUAAGUUGCUGUCCUGAUAAAAUGCAAUUUCCAGUAUGUCUGUACAGUGAGUCCUACUCUCGCUGUUUCUUGGUCUCUUGGACCUACGCUCUGCCCAGCCUUCAAUCUCCCUAUUUCCACUGGUAUUUCCUCUCCUCCAGCCUUGAAAACCUUUCAAACAUUUGAGCAAUAUGUCAUUUUUUCUCAUCUGCUGUAGACAAGGUUCAGGUCAUCCCUGCAGCCUGUUCACCUGCCAAAAUUGCUUCAUCUGACUUGUGGGGGAGGCUCUGCCAGAGUGUAACAGUAAUGAAAGGAGAUUCAGGGACUUGAAGAGCUCUUCCCUGCCUAGUCAAAUCUCUAAGCAGUUCAAAUUUCAUUAACCUCUAGCGAUGUGAUGUAGUAUUCCAGGACAAUAUGGCUGGCAGACAAUGAGGGUGGGCCCUCCUAAGAGGUUUUGCUGUUAGAGACUGGGAUGAGGUAAGAGAAGAGGGACCUGACUUUCUUCUCUGGUCAGGGGGAAAAACAAGGCAAACUGCUGAGUUCAGUGGGUUUAGCAACUUUGCUACCAAAAUCUCCUUCUAAACAUUCCUGACUGUAGCACCCUUAUUCUGAUGAGUGCUUCACUUUCAGAAGAGCUUUGAGCUUCCAAUGACAUCUUUUCUUGUAAACAGACAAGAAACAUACAGAGCAUGUGAAAACAUGCUUUAUUGGACUCAAGAUUUUAGAACUAAAAUGGUUUUGCUUUUCCUGUUUGUGGUAAGAACUGCACCACUAACUUAGGGUGCAAGUUACUAUUUCUGUACAGGAUGGGAUUUCUCCCAGUCUAAUCUUCUUGGGAACGAAAUGUCUAUAGGUACUUCAGUAAUUCAGUUUAAAUUCUGGAUUUGAUCCCCAACAUGGGGAUUCUAUUCUAACCACAGAUAUGUCUCUGGAAACCAGUUGCAGUGAUAGUAUCAUCUGCUGAUUUUUGGCUGCUGAGCUUAUCACUUUUCAGGAGUGAAAUUGUCAUUCAGGAAGAAUAUGCAGCAUGGAUGUUAGAUUAAUCACAUAUUUGUUGCAAGAAAAAAAAAACGUAAGGGAAUUUAUGCCCUAUAUUCCAAUGAAUUAAUUAUGAAAAUUUCUGCACUUGUUCACAGAAGAGAAAAUCUUCCAUAUUGUGAAAUGAAAAAUCUUCCAUUCAACCAUAUUGUGGAAUUAACACUCUCUUUCCCUUUUUUUGUGCUUGGCUAUCAACAAAACCAAAAGUUUUUAUAUAUGUGCAAUUUUUCAGCUUAGAGAGUAAAAGGAGGGGCACCUUGUGGGUAUUUUUUUCAGGAAGAAGGAUAUCACCCAUUGUCCUGACUGAAAAAAUAAAUAGUAUUCCUAUAUUAUGCAGUGUACUUUUGAGAGGAAAGAGAUUGAAUUUUCAGUCAUGUCAAUAAUAUAGCAGGCUUCCAAAUUUAUUGUCUUGUUGAUUCUCAUAUGAAUAUGGAGCAUCUACCUGCACCAAACACAGAACAGCUGUCUCAGAUCACUGAAAAUUUAUUGAUUUCUUCAGCUGAAGAGUUUAAAUGUGUUUUCCUCUAGUUAUAACCCAAAUGAAAAAGUGUUUUGUGUUAUGUCAUCAUGUAACUGUGUGGGAGUAGAGGCAAAUACCAGGUACAAGUUCAAAGAGGUGCCUGUGAUAGAUAAAUGAAUACCCUGUGCUGGUGCUAACAUUUAAAUACAGGAAUCUUCAAUUGAAGAAUAUGAAAGCUGGCAAUGAACACUGCUUUCUCUCAGUCACAUGCACUGCAGUGUUUGGGGCUUUUAAAGUGCCUUUUAUUUCAGUUUUCCAAACUGUCAUCAUUCAAACACUUGUGAAUUUCUCUGUCUCCUUUCUGUUUAAAAUCACUGGUGAUUGAAUGUGCAAAAACAGCCAGGCAGCUCUUUACAGUCCCUUUUUUGUGCAUCCUGUUGGGGUAGGGCAUGGUUUGGAAGAUGCAGAAAUUGGUGUAGAAUUUAAACAUUGGCACAAAGUAAUGUUUUAUGUUUAUGUUUGUUUAUAUGCACAUGUACACCUCUAGCUGUGUAAAUGUACACCUUUACCUCAUGCUCUGGCAGCCCUCUGAGUCCUUUGUCUGUUUUUCUUCUAAUACAAGAAACCUGUUUGCACUCCUCAUAUCUCAGAUCAGUUUGGAAGUGGUAGGAAAUUAAAAAGGAGCCAGUAAAUCUUAGGGAAGGAAGUGAAAAGUUGUAUGUUGGAAAGAAAGAGAAAGAACAUCAAUUGUAUGGAGCAGAGACAGUUCCAUUUUUCAUUCUUCUGUCAGUUUUAAAAAACCGUGUGUUAUCUAAGCAUUAAAAAUAGAAGAAUGCUAAUAUUGUGCAGAAAUGCUUGUUCUAGGUCUCAAAUUCCAAUUAUUGCCUAUAGUACAUUGAUAACUUAAUUUAGUGCAAUUUUUAUAAGCCACCUGAGCUGCCUGCUGCACCUUGGAUGGCUUCAAUACUUGCUCUAAUCCAUGUGUGAGUUAGCGUUCCGUGAGGAAUAGGGAGCCUUCCAAUUUAUUAACUGAAGUAUCUUACAUCUUUCUAUGCUAGAAAAAAUUUUAUAUUGACAUAUCCAGAGUUUUUAUUGAAGUUAUAUUAGUGCUAUCUAUCAGGGAUAUGCUAGAAAAUCUAUAACUUCCACCAAAAUGUUGCCCAUGUGAGCAAUUCGGUUUAUGAAGUACAAUCUUCCCAGGCUGGCUUAGUGCCUCCUGGUUCAUUUUUCAAGCUAUGUGAUGUUUAAUGAAUUUGUCAAAAUAAAAACUAAUACACAGUUUCACGUCUAUCAUCAAAUUAUGCUUUGCAAUAUACGGCUAAGGGUAUGAAAAAAGACACCUAUAUGAAGGUCUGCAAAUGGAAAACAUCUCAGGUCUGUGCUGUUCUAUUUCUUGUUUUGACACUUUUUUGCAGGCUCAGAGAUGUUUUACUUGGGUUGCAAUAGCACUGGGAAUUUGUCCAGAUGAAGUAACGACAUGGCUUCAUUAUGUGCAGCAUGUAGAUAUUUGUCUGCAGCGCACCAUCAAGCCAGUCAAUAUAUUUGCCAAAAAAAAAAAAAGGGGAAAGGUUGAGAGGUCUUUAUGACCUUGUUUAAAGCAAUCCCAGAUCCCAUUUUCUAAACUACUACACAGAUUUUCAGACUCAUUUAUUUUCUCUUACAUAUUAAGUCAGAACUUUGUGGCAACUAAGAGAGUGACAUUUUUAAAACAGCUUGACAUGAUGUCUGACCUGUUUGUACAACUGCAUCACUUUCCCAGCACCUCCUGUUUCUUUGAACAAAGCUAAGAACAGUAAACCUUUAGGAAUGCUAAAAAGAAAAAUGAUUUCUCUGUGCCCUGCUCUGCAGGCAUGAGUAAUACAUGUGGUAUUGGCUACCAGUUUUCAUAAUCACUGGCAGUUGUCAAUCAUCAUAAAUCAGUCAGCGCUGUGGCCUCUGAGGGAUCUCACAGGUCACUGCAGAGAGCUCCACGUGUCUCAGCUUUGAUGGAGUGAAGGAAUGACAGAGGGGUGAGAGGAGAGGAUGACACUUCUGCAAUGAGUCCUGCCAGGGGCAGCUGAAGGAGCUGAGGGUGUUUAGCCUGGAGAAAAAGGAGGAUCAGGAGGGACCUGUUUGUUCUCUCUGAAAGGAUUGUAGAGUCAGGUGGGAGUCAGCCGCUUCUCCCAGGCAACUAGACACAGGAAAAAAGGAAAAUGGCCUUAAGCUGUGCCAGGGGAAAUUCAGCUUGAAUAUUAGGAAAAUGUCCUUUAUUGAAGGAGUGGUUGAGCACUGGAAUGGGCUGCCCAGGAAAGUGGUGCAGUCAUCAUCCCCAGAGGUGUUAAAGAAAUGAGUAGACUUGGCACUUUGUGAUGUUCUUUAGUGAAAGGUGGGAUUUGUUGGCCUUGGAGGUCUUUUCCAACCAUAAUUUUCCAGUGAUUCUGUGCUUCCUGUACCAUCAGGUGUUGUGUGUGCACCCCUAAACCUGGGGACCAGGGCUGCAGAGCUGUGCUCUCACUGCAGCUGAGCCUCAGCUGGCACUCUCAGCCUUCCUACACACAAAUGUUCAGGCAUAUUAAGCUAAUAAAGCAUAUUAAAAACUCACUGGUGGGGCAGUGCUGAUUACAGAGUAAAGAAGCCAAACCUUACAGCAGAGAUCAAUUGUGGAGAAAACAGAAGCAUGAGAGGACAUAUUCCUGUAUUUCAGCAGGAGGAAACUCCCUCUUAGGUUUAUCUUUUUAAACCCUGUACUGCCACAGCUACCAAGGUGAAGUGUUGUGGCCUUGAAUUUACUGCAGAGAUAAUGUUUUAUAUCCAUUGAUAUAAAUUUUGCUAUUAAUAUCAGCAUAUGAAUGGAAUACAUAUGGAAUAUAUUUAAAUGCAUGUAUCAUUUAAAAACUUGUGCAUGAUACCGGGUGUGCAAAAAUGCACCAGAGGGUAGGCAGAAGCUUAGGAAUGGGUGUGAUCAUGUUGGAUCAGGAAUGUGAGGCAGGAGCUGUCUGAUAGAGAAUAUCUCUGUCAGAGACAGAGAUUCCAUUUGCUAUGGAAUCCAGCAUCCACUGGUCAGGAUAGUGCCAGUCCAGGGCUAUACCCAGCACAGUCACACCACUCCAGCCCUGUGCAGGCAGAAUCCAGCAACUUUCCUGAUAUUUUAGUGCUUUCCAUUUCUUGUUCAGGAGAUAAUUCCUCUGAACAGUCUGCAAAACCAAUGCCACAAUCACUGAAUCAAGAUAUUGGAUCUUGCAAAGAAGAGCAGAGGGCUUCUGAAAUAAAACAUGGUGCUAGGGCUUUUCUGUGGGCUGUUGGUUUAUUUUGGGUUUUGGUUUUGUUUUUUUUUGGUAAGUUCUGGUGGUUUGUUU